rnacentral:rRNA from 1 species
AGAGUUUGAUCCUGGCUCAGGAUGAACGCUGGCGGCGUGCCUAAUACAUGCAAGUCGAACGCUUUGUGCUUAAUUGAUAUGAUGAGCUUGCUCUGAUUUGAUUUUUUGAUUUCAAAGAGUGGCGAACGGGUGAGUAACACGUGGGUAACCUACCUCUUAGCAGGGGAUAACAUUUGGAAACAAGUGCUAAUACAUGUAUAAUACCAACAACCGCAUGGUUGUUGGUUGAAAGAUGGUUCUGCUAUCACUAAGAGAUGGACCCGCGGUGCAUUAGCUAGUUGGUAAGGUAAUGGCUUACCAAGGCAAUGAUGCAUAGCCGAGUUGAGAGACUGAUCGGCCACAAUGGGACUGAGACACGGCCCAUACUCCUACGGGAGGCAGCAGUAGGGAAUCUUCCACAAUGGGCGCAAGCCUGAUGGAGCAACGCCGCGUGUGUGAUGAAGGGUUUCGGCUCGUAAAACACUGUUAUAAGAGAAGAACGGCACUGAGAGUAACUGUUCAGUGUGUGACGGUAUCUUACCAGAAAGGAACGGCUAAAUACGUGCCAGCAGCCGCGGUAAUACGUAUGUUCCAAGCGUUAUCCGGAUUUAUUGGGCGUAAAGCGAGCGCAGACGGUUAUUUAAGUCUGAAGUGAAAGCCCUCAGCUCAACUGAGGAAUUGCUUUGGAAACUGGAUGACUUGAGUGCAGUAGAGGAAAGUGGAACUCCAUGUGUAGCGGUGAAAUGCGUAGAUAUAUGGAAGAACACCAGUGGCGAAGGCGGCUUUCUGGACUGUAACUGACGUUGAGGCUCGAAAGUGUGGGUAGCAAACAGGAUUAGAUACCCUGGUAGUCCACACCGUAAACGAUGAGUGCUAGAUGUUCGAGGGUUUCCGC